rnacentral:tRNA from 1 species
GGUCCGGUGGCCGAGGAGAUAAGCGGCGCCGGUCUUAAAAACGGCAGGACCGGGGUUCAAAUCCCAUCCGGAUCG